AAAAAGGCCCUUUUCAGGGCCAACAAAUAUUUUAAAUAAGAACACC
rfam:Triticum urartu cultivar G1812 contig430546, whole genome shotgun sequence.